rnacentral:rRNA from 1 species
AGUGAACGCUGGCGGUAGGCCUAACACAUGCAAGUCGAACGGCAGCACAGUAAGAGCUUGCUCUUACGGGUGGCGAGUGGCGGACGGGUGAGGAAUACAUCGGAAUCUACUUUUUCGUGGGGGAUAACGUAGGGAAACUUACGCUAAUACCGCAUACGACCUACGGGUGAAAGCAGGGGAUCUUCGGACCUUGCGCGAUUGAAUGAGCCGAUGUCGGAUUAGCUAGUUGGCGGGGUAAAGGCCCACCAAGGCGACGAUCCGUAGCUGGUCUGAGAGGAUGAUCAGCCACACUGGAAAUGAGACACGGGCCAGACUCCUACGGGAGGCAGCAGUGGGGAAUAUUGGACAAUGGGCGCAAGCCUGAUCCAGCCAUACCGCGUGGGUGAAGAAGGCCUUCGGGUUGUAAAGCCCUUUUGUUGGGAAAGAAAAGCAGCAGGUUAAUACCCCGCUGUUCUGACGGUACCCAAAGAAUAAGCACCGGCUAACUUCGUG